GAUCAGCCUGGGGGGUUUGGCUUCCUAACAGCCACUGGGGCUAGUUCUACCAGAUCCAUCCCCUGAUUCCUGCAAGCAAACCUUUUCACCAUCUUGUAUGGCACUGUAGGAAAAGUGAUGCCCUGUAGUAUGUAGCAAUUCGAGUGACAUUAAAUAAUCCAGGCAAUUCAUUUAGAUAUCCUUCAUUGAUUCAUGAAUUAAAGGUAUAUGUCAUAGCUGCUGUUGUAGUUAUGGUGCCAGGAGUUCGCUU